rnacentral:rRNA from 1 species
CCGCCAAGAGGACAUUAAAAACCAAGUGUAGUAGCAGUAAAUCAGUUAGUAAUAAAUAUUAAAACUUUCAACAAUGGAUCUAUUGGUACGUCAAUGAUGAAGAAAGCAGCGAAAUGCGAUAAGUAGUGUGAAUAGCAGAUUCAGUGAAUCAUAGAAUCUUUGAACGCACAAAGCGCCAUUAGGUAUUCGUUGGGCAUGCAUGUUCGAGCGUCAUAUAAACCUUCAAGCUAUGCUUGUGUUGGGUGUUUGUUCCGCCUCAGCGCAGGGACUAGCCUCAAAUUCUAUGCAGCCGGUAUGUUGGAUUUGUGGGCAGCACAUUGCAAGGAAAUUCAGCGGACCCCCUUCCACAAGCCUUUUUUUUACUUUGACCUUAUUUUCAGGUAGGAUACCCGAUGAAAUUUAACCAUAUCUAAUAAAGCAGGGACGGGAAAA